UCACAUGCGGUGUCGUUUGAUAAUUCUUGUCGUUUUACUCAUUUAUGCCUUUUGUUUGGUAAACAUUUGUUCCCUGUUCAUUGCUUCUUUAUGUUGAAUAACAUCAAGUAUUCCUUUCAUUGAUUUAAUGUUAUUGAUUGUGUGUUAGUGGACUAAGUUGCAUUAACUAACUUAGAGCAUCUUCUUCAAAGCUCAAUUUCAUUAGUUCUUUUUUGAAAGGCAUGGUGUUUGUAAUGUACCCUGUUAACAUCUGUUCCCGGAUGAACUGAAAGUUAAUCUCGAUAUGUUUGGUUCGCUCAUGUAAUACUAAAGUAGAAGUAAAAUGAAUCAUAGCUUGACAAUAUAAUUUUAUUUAAGGGUCAUUUUAUGCACCCAAAUAGCACCUUUUUUUCCGGGUAAAGUGACCGUCAAUCUCGACAUAUUUGAUUUGCUCGUCAAAUACUAGAUAAGAAGAGAAUAUAUUGUUGUUUCACAAUAUAAUUCCAUUUAAGGGACAUUAAUGAACUUAAGUUCUCUUAGAGUAAGUGCUUGAUCCAAAUAAGCUCACAUUUAGUUAAGGCCAUAAUUCGACAAUGAGGUUUAUGAGCCGAUAGAGAAACUACAUUUACUUUUACUUUCCCAUGAAACAAGGUUGUCUCCAACAAAGUACAAUAUCCAGAUGUAGAACACUUAUCAUAUGGUCAGAAUGUCCAAUGAUGUGAUUAUAUCCUUGAUUUAUAUAUAGCAAAUCCAUCCCAGUGAGUGGUACGUGGCUAUUGAAGAACUUGUUGACGACACUAACAACAUGGAUAAAUGUUAGGGUGAGUGACAAUAAGAUAAUUCAACUUACCAAUUAGUCGUCAAUCGCAGCCAAUAUAUGUUAGAGGAUCCCCUUAUCAGGAAGAAGUUUGUUAACAUCCAUAAGAGAGCUUGCAGGCUUAAAGUCUGUAGUGUGUUUCUUCUAGCAUAUUCGAAGCAUAGUUUCCUUGUGAAAUCACAAGGCCUUCAGUUGAUGAAGGUCUACAAUGCCAAGAAAAUAUGUAAAAGUGGUCCCAAGUCCUUAUUUUAAAAAUAUUGGAAUAAACGAUGCUUGAGAACUCAUAUUCCAUCUUUCUCGCUACCAGUAAUGGCAAUAUCAACAACAUAGACAAUAAAAUAUUACAUGGGUCAAUACUAGUAUGCCUAUAAAAGAGUAAUUUUAUCCACAUUUAGUCAUUCCUGAAUCGUAGCACUAAAUCACCUUAACCAAGCACGAAAAAACUGUUUUAAGAUAUAUAGAGAACGAGAAGCUUACACACAACACUUAGACUCCCUGUAGAGGCUGGGCAACAAAGCUUGGUGGCUAUUCAAAUUCUUUUUUUCCUAAAAAAAAUAUCACAUCAAACAAUUACUUUUCUGUUUUUUAUAUUAUACUACAAAUUUAUUUUACAAUCAAAAGAUCACAUCAACCUCUAUUUAUAUCACAUCAAACAAUUAUUCAAAUUCAACUUUUUACUAUUAAAAAAUCCAAACCCAAAAACUAAAACCCACAAACAAACACACCUUUAAUGUCCAACUAACAAAAAGUCCACCCUCUAUACCUACAAGAGAAAUAAACAAGCAAACAUAUGACAUGUAGGUCAUUCGGCAAAUGGUGUUGGUGUAAUCCUGAUCAUAAAUUUGAAUGAACCCUUUGGCAAUCAAACGAGCUUCAAGACGAUCAAGCUUGCCAUUAGGACCAAUGUUAAUAGCAUAAAUCCAAUGACAUGCAAUUGUAGAUUUAUCUCAGGGAAAACAAACCAACUCUCAAGUACUAUUUGCAUCCAAGGCAACAAUCUUAUCCGCCACCUUAACCAAGAUGAGAAAUAGUCUACGAGAUAGUCUUGGGAAUAAAAAUUGACUUUGAUGUAGCCACAAAACUAUAAAAAAAAGUGGACAAACGGUUAAGAAAUUAUAAAUAGGAUUUUAUAGUGGAAAAUCUAUCUAUUUGAAGAACAAACAAAGAAAAGUUGUUGGAUGCUGAAAGGGGUGGGACCAGCGAUUAGUUGGAGUCAGAAAGGAAUGGGUAGGAACAUGAUGGGAAGAUAAAGAAAGAUGUCGGGGAUGAUGCACUUGGCGAGGAGGUGAAGAGGAAGGAACAACAAGUGGUGAGUAUGGGAUAGGGAGAACAAUCAACAUAGUAGGAAAAGAUGGGGAGGGAUAAUAGAGAGGUGAGCACAUCAAUAGAAAUGAUAUAUCGACCUUGAAUAGAUUAGUAGCAAAUGAUCCCAUUUGAACCCUAGAGUAUCUAAGAAAGACAUAUUGAUAAAAAAAGGCAUUGAGAGCAUGCACAUAAAGUUUAGUAGACCAAGAGUGAUUAUGAAUAAUACAAGUACACCCCAAUAAUGGAAGCAGACACUAAUGAGGAAUCUCAUCCCGAAGGAUGGAACAAGGCAUCUGAUUGAUGUGGUAAGAGGCAUUUAGUGUGUUGACCCAACCUUUUUUUAGUGACACGAUUCUCAAUUAAUAUUACUAAAAAAUAUAAUAUAUACAUAUAUUCACACAAUGUCUAAAAAUAUAUACUCUUCACUCACAUAAAGUCAUUAACUAAAAGCAAAAUAUUAAUUUUUAUAUUAACAACACGCUUCUAAUAUCUAACACUAAUAAUACAUCUAUCAAAAAAACACAGUGAACAUACCCAUUAAGUACCAUGUCAACUCAAACUGUAUGGUUCUUACUGAAAAUGCUAUUUUCCUGAAGAGUAUAGGCACAAGAAGAUUAAUGGAUGAUACUGUGAGAUAGUGUGUAUUGGGACAUAGAGAAACAUUCAAGAGCAUUAUCCCUUUGUAAAAUUUUGAUAAGCAAGUUAAAUUGAGUUUGAAUUUUAGCAUAAAAUGAAGAAAAAACAUAAGGGUUAUUCAGAAUGAGUUCUCAUUUAAGUAAAACCAGCCUGAAAAAUCAUCCACAAAAGGGACAGUUAUUGAACACAUAAAAACCCAAUGUAAGACUAGGAUACAAUAUAUCAUAGUAGACCCUAUCAAAGGGUGCAAAAGCCUGAGCAAAACUUCCUAAGGAAAUGAAGCAGCUUCCUAGGCGUAGAGGAACCACACCAAUCCAUCCCGAACUUGGUGGUUAAACUCUACUGCGGUGACGAUACUGUAGGAGAGGUCCUGCGGAAAAAUAGCUCGACGCCAGGAUGAUAAAAGGCUUAACACCUCUCAUUCCUGAUUACCAAGUUGACAAGACCCACAAUUGAAACAUGACAAUAAAGACAAAUGAGAAGCUGUGCAUUUGAAUUUAGACGGACAAAGAUGACCAAAACGCUGGUGAAGGAGGGAAGAAAGAAUCAACAUUAAAAAUGAUAGAAUAAUCUAAAGAUUAAGUUAAUCUACUGAAAAAAAAUAAUACUAAAAGACAUUGAUC